CCCCGACAUCACGAGAAGUCCAUUGAACCUUAUCAUUUAGAGGAAGGAGAAGUCGUAACAAGGUUUCCGUAGGUGAACCUGCGGAAGGAUCAUU
rnacentral:rRNA from 1 species